AUGUGUGUGUGUGUGUGUGUGUGUGUGUGUGUGUGACAGUUUCUUUUGCGAUGUUGAAUGGACGGUGAAGGACAGACAGACAGGAAAGGAUUCUCUCUCUCUCUCUCUCUCUCUCUCUCUCUCUCUCUCUCUCUCUCUCUCUCUCUCUCUCUCUCUCUCUCUCAGAUUUCGUACCCUCUCUUUCCUCCACUAUUAUUCUUCCUCUCCCUCCCUCUCUUUGCCUCCAUUUCUCUCCCUCCCUCUUCUUCCCUCUCCCUCCUCUUCCCCUUUCCUCUUCUUUUACCUCCUAUAAUUUUGACUGCCCAUGCUCCUCCUCUUCUCCCCCUCCCUCUCCCUCUUUUAAUACCUCCUGCUCCCUCUCCCUCCCUUCCUCACAAAUUUUCUCCCUCCCUCCUUCCCUCCCUUCCUUGCAGUAUGUCAAAUGUACCCUUCCCUCCCUUCCCUCCAUCCUUCGUUCUCUCCCUCGCCUCCUUCCUCCCUCUCUUCCCUUCCUCCCUUUUUUUCCAGUAUAUACCUCAAAUGUACCCUUCCGUCUUGUCUCCCUCCCUCCCUCCUUCCCUUCCUCCCUUCUCUCCCUAGUAAUAAUAAUAAUAAUGGAAGGUUUUGCAUUGCUAUUUUGAUGGACGUAUUUCUUUUUUUCUUCUCAUUCUUCUUUUCUUCUUAUUGUUGUUGUUGUUGUUGUUGUUGUUGUAGUAUUUAAGGGAGAGCAGAUGGAAAGGGGUGGGGGGCCAGGUGCUCUCUCUCUCUCUCUCUCUCUCUCUCUCUCUCUCUCUCUCUCUCUCUCUCUCUCUCUCUCUUCAUAUCAGUCCAUCUCACCUUCACACACACACACACACACACACACACACACACGUCGUAAUCAUAACAAUACGACGCUUACACUGUUAUUACGUACAUUGUUUCGGUCUGGUUCAUGUCAUCGGAUCCUUUCUGGAGUGCGGGGUUGUGCUAUUCAGUCCUGUGUUUUAUGUGGCAACGAUCGAAGAAAGAAUAACAUGGUAAGUACAAAAAGGUGGAGGUUUUAUUUGACACUGAAAAAGAGGAAAAGAUAGAUGUAACAAGGUAGAAGUAACAGUAAAAGGAGAAGAAGAAGAAGGAUGAGGUUUUAUUUGACACUGAAAAAGAGGAAAAGAUUGAUGCAACAAGGUAGAAGUAACAGUAAAAGGAGAAGAAGAAGGAUGAGGUUUUAUUUGACACUGAAAAAGAGGAAAAGAUUGAUGUAACAAGGUAGAAGUAACAGUAAAAGGAGAAGAAGAAGAAGGAUGAGGUUUUAUUUGACACUGAAAAAGAGGAAAAGAUAGAUGUAACAAGGUAGAAGUAACAGUAAAAGGAGAAGAAGAAGAAGGAUGAGGUUUUAUUUGACACUGAAAAAGAGGAAAAGAUUGAUGUAACAAAGUAGAAGUAACAGUAAAAGGAGAAGAAGAAGAAGGAUGAGGUUUUAUUUGACACUGAAAAAGAGGAAAAGAUAGAUGUAACAAGGUAGAAGUAACAGUAAAAGGAGAAGAAGAAGAAGGAUGAGGUUUUAUUUGACACUGAAAAAGAGGAAAAGAUUGAUGUAACAAGGUAGAAGUAACAGUAAAAGGAGAAGAAGAAGAAGGAUGAGGUUUUAUUUGACACUGAAAAAGAGGAAAAGAUUGAUGUAACAAGGUAGAAGUAACAGUAAAAGGAGAAGAAGAAGAAGGAUGAGGUUUUAUUUGACACUGAAAAAGAGGAAAAGAUUGAUGUAACAAGGUAGAAGUAACAGUAAAAGGAGAAGAAGAAGGAUGAGGUUUUAUUUGACACUGAAAAAGAGGAAAAGAUUGAUGUAACAAGGUAGAAGUAACAGUAAAAGGAGAAGAAGAAGGAUGAGGUUUUAUUUGACACUGAAAAAGAGGAAAAGAUUGAUGUAACAAGGUAGAAGUAACAGUAAAAGGAGAAGAAGAAGGAUGAGGUUUUAUUUGACACUGAAAAAGAGGAAAAGAUAGAUGUAACAAGGUAGAAGUAACAGUAAAAGGAGAAGAAGAAGAAGGAUGAGGUUUUAUUUGACACUGAAAAAGAGGAAAAGAUUGAUGUAACAAGGUAGAAGUAACAGUAAAAGGAGAAGAAGAAGAAGGAUGAGGUUUUAUUUGACACUGGAAAAGAGGAAAAAAUAGAUGUAACAAAGUAGAAGUAACAGUAAAAGGAGAAGAAGAAGAAGGAUGAGGUUUUAUUUGACACUGGAAAAGAGGAAAAGAUUGAUGUAACAAGGUAGAAGUAACAGUAAAAGGAGAAGAAGAAGAAGGAUGAGGUUUUAUUUGACACUGAAAAAGAGGAAAAGAUUGAUGUAACAAACUAGAAGUAACUGAGUAAAAGGAGAUGAAGGAGAAUGAUUUUUUUCUUGAUAACGAGGAAGGAAGAAAAGAGUAGGAGGGUAAAAGAAGAACAUAUUAGGAACAGUAAAACAAGGAGAAGGAGUAGGAGGUUUGAUAUGGUAAUGAGGAAGCAGAAAAAAGUAACGAGCUCAGGAGAAGGAUAAGAAGUAUUUUUAUAUAUGGUAAGAAAUUUGAAGAGGAACAGUAGGAGGAGGAGGAGGUAGGCUUUAUUAACAGAAGGAGAAGGAGGAGGAGGUUUGAUAAGGUAAUGAGGAAGCAGAAAAAAUAAAGAGUAGAAGAAGGAUAAGAAGUAUUUUUUUAUACGGUAAGAAAGUUGAAGCGUAACAGUAGAAGGAGGUAGUCUUUAUUUGGUGACGAAAAGGAUUAAAAAAAGAGUAAUAGACGAUGAGAAGGAUGAUGUCUUUUAUUGUGUAACGAAGAUAAAAAAAAUAUUUGCAAGGAUGAGAAGGAACUUUUAUUUGGUAACGAAGAAGAGAAAAAGUAAUGGGGAGGAGAAGGCUGAUAAGUAGGUUUUAUUUGAUAAGAAGAAAAUAAGAGUAACAGCAGGAUAAGGAUCAGGAAAGGAAAAAGUUUUAAUUUUGACAACGAAGAAGAAAAAAAGUAGCGGUAGAAAGAUAAGAACAUUUUAUUGGACAGCAAAGAUGAAAAAGAAAAAGUAAGAGUGAUGAAGAAAAAAAGAGUAGAAGAAGGUUAUUUGGCAACGAAGAAUAGAAAAGUAAGAGGAGAAGAAUUAGAAGGUUAAAUAAUUUGACAACGAAGAAAAGAAAUAAACAGAUCUGGAGAAAGUGAAAGGCGACGGGGAUGUGUUGUUUUAUUUCCUACACUCAUGGUCAUAGACAUCUAGGAGACUGGUAUCCUCUAAUGGCGGUUGUUUUUUAUAUUGCUUUGAGAAUUAUCAUUAUGCACUUAACCCUCUCAUGAUUUUACGAAUUUUAACUUUUUUUUAUAAUUUUACGAUUUUUAACUUGUUUUAUAAUGUUAGUUUUUUUAACUUUUUAUAAUUUUACGAUUUUUUUUUAAUAAUUCUACGAUUUUUAACUUAAUUUUACGAUUUUUUUUUUAUAAUUCGACGAUUUUUAACUUUUCAUAACUUGACGAUUUUUAACUUUAUAAUUUUACGAUUUUUAACUUUUCAUAAUAUUGCGAUUUUAACUAUAAUUUUACGAUUUUUAACUUCAUAAUUUUACGAUUUUUUUAUUUAUAUAAUUCUACGAUUUUUAACUUAAUACUUUUGCGAUUUUUAACUUUAUAUAAUUUUGCGAUUUUAUACGAGGUCAUUUUAUUCGGCGCUAUAUAACCAGUGCAGUUGCGGCGCCAUAAUUUUAGUCCAAUCAAUCAAUCAACAGUGAAAAAAAAAAAGCAUAGUUUUCAUGUGUUUUGGAAGAAUGAAUGACAACAACAACAACUACUACUACUACUACUACUACUACUACUACUACUACUACUACUACUACUACUACUACUACUACUACUACUACACCUAAAAACCUUUAUAUUACGUCAUCCAAACAGGUGUGUCUAGUAUUCGUUAUCAUUGUGUGUGUGUGUGUGUGUGUGUGUGUGUGUGUUGGUGAUUGUUCCACCUCCACCCUUCCCGUCGUCACUCCUCUUCCUCCUCCUCCUCCUCCUUCAGCCUUGGGUAAGAGGGAAGACAUUUGUACAUUUCCAAAUAGUUGUCAUUUCUUUGUAUUGCAGAAUAAUACUGUCCUCCUCCUCCUCCUCCUCCUCCUCCCUUUCAUCCCACAGAUUUCGCCCCAUGUAUCCUCCACUUUUUAUUGUUACCUUCUUCCUUCUUUAAUCUCCUCUUCCACCUCCUCCUCCUCCUCUUCCUUUACCUCUUUGAAUUCCUCUUUUCUCUUCAUCUUCAUUCUUUCUUCUUUUCCUAUUUUUUUUCCACUUAUUUUCAUCAUCUUCCUUUUCUUUUCAUCUUCUCACUCCUCCUCCUCUUCCUCCUCUUUUCUUUUCCUUAUCAUUCUCCUCCUAUCCUCCUAUCAACAUCACCUACCCUCCCUCCUCCUCCUCCUCCUCCUCCUCCUCACCACCACCUGCCUCUCGGGAAGUUGCGAAGGGAAGGGGGAAUGUGAGGGAGGCUUCCGGAAGACCACGCAAUGAGGAGGAGGAGGAGGAGGAGGGGGAAGAGGAGGAGGAGGAGGAAGGGCGGUCAGGAU